rnacentral:rRNA from 1 species
GGGUAAAGGAGGGCGGAGACGCGGGUGAAUACGUAGGUGGCAAGCGUUGUCCGGAAGUAGUGGGCGGAAAGGGCGCGCAGGCUGGGUCGGAAGUCGGUCUUAAAAGGGCGGGGCUUAACCCCGUGAGGGGACCGAAACUGCGAUGCUAGAGUAUCGGAGAGGAAAGCGGAAUUCCUAGUGUAGCGGUGAAAUGCGUAGAUAUUAGGAGGAACACCAGUGGCGAAAGCGGCUUUCUGGACGACAACUGACGCUGAGGCGCGAAAGCCAGGGGAGCAAACGGGAUUAGAUACCCCAGUAGUC